rnacentral:lncRNA from 1 species
AGGUGCUUGGGACAGCCAUACAAGACUGGCUAACCUCCACCAGGCAGGACAGAUAAUCGUGGACCCUCUGGACUCUCGGCCAGGGAAGGAUUUGGGCAGUGAGGACUUCCAGCAUGGCUACCAGGGACUGCCGAUCCACCAGUUUCUCUCCUCACUCACUGACAGCUCCCCCGCAAAGGACUGUCCAUCUCUGAGGACCCUGCUACUGGGGCAAGGGCGGAGGAAGGCCACACUGGCAUCCAUGCUCUACGAGAAAUACAGCAAGGAGACGGAGGAGGAGAUCCAUCCCCGCCCGAGGCGCAUGGAAUCUAUCUCCACCACGCACCAGGACUACCGUGCCACGGGUUUCCAGUCCACACCCCAGCCCAUCACACAGCCUCACAACUACUUAACGGAGCAGCCAACAAGCUUCUGGAUGGAGCAAGCCCGCGGGCUGCCGGUAAGGCCCCCACCACCUUG